AAACCAUGGUGAGGACACUUCCGUAAGAGAUCUUUGUAUCUUCCCCAAGCCUCAUAAAGUGACUCCAUAUCUUGCUGGAAAAAAAUUGUGAUGUCACAUCUCAUCUU